GGAAGCAAAAGAAGUGAGCGCAAGACCCUCCUAAAAUUCUCAGCUCCUUUCUGCCCUAAGGAGUAGAGAGUCUGGCUUCUCAAGAGUCCAGGAUCUUGAGAAUUGGGGCACACCAAAGAAUAAUCAGUUCUCAGCGCCGUUUAAAGAGAAACACGGGGUAAACGAAAAGAUGAAAAGUGGAAAACCAGAAAAGGAAGAGAAACCUAAGCAGGAGCCACUGUAGACACGGCUGGACAAAGACAGCUGCUGCCUUCAGAUUAUUUGUCCUGGGGGUAUUUACAAAGGAGAGAAUUGGACUAAAGUUCUACUUCACAAUAUCAGUUGGCUUGUUUUCUCCUCUCUUGCCUUACCUGAUUAUAAUUCUGAAAUG